AAUGAACGCUGGCGGCGCGCCUAAUACAUGCAAGUCGAGCGAGAAGACGUAGCAAUACGUUUGUAAAGCGGCGAACGGGUGAGGAAUACAUGGGUAACCUACCCUAGAGUGGGGAAUAACUAGCCGAAAGGUUAGCUAAUACCGCGUACGCUCCUUGGACCUCGGUUCAGGGAGGAAAGCGAUGCCGAGGGUAUCGCGCUCUUGGAUGGGCUCAUGUCCUAUCAGCUGUUGGUGAGGUAACGGCUCACCAAGGCUUCGACGGGUAGCUGGUCUGAGAGGACGAUCAGCCACACUGGCACUGCGACACGGGCCAGACUCCUACGGGAGGCAGCAGUAAGGAAUAUUGCGCAAUGGGCGAAAGCCUGACGCAGCGACGCCGCGUGGGGGA
rnacentral:rRNA from 1 species